UUAUAGAACAUAAUUAGAUUAACGGCACACGUCAUUACGUCACCGCGCCACGCCGUCUGACGUCCCUCCAGAAUUUCACGUAUCAACAUACAAUUCGUCUUCAUUAUGGUACCGUAUACAGUUUUGGGUGUUUUUAUUAAUUUUUUUUACGAACGCUUUAAGUGCAGUUAAUUAUUUGUCAUGCUGUAUGUGCUAAUACACAACUGCUUGAAGCCGUGGGUGUGUCCCAAAUCGCGUACUUAUCGUUUAUAUAGUAGCCGAGCUACAUGUAUUUUUCCCCACUACAGGCCUAUAGUAGGCAAGUAAGCGAUUUGGGACGCGGCCGAACUCUCUUCUUCGCCGUAAAACGUAAAACUGCCGUGUGUGAUCGUGUCCUGUCGCAAAAUGCGGUGAAAACUCUCACACGACGUUCAUAAUGUGAUUAAGGUAUUUACGUGUCUGUAAUACACGUCCAUAAUGCGCUUAAAACAGGAGUACUCCACCUGUCUUAAUUAGAUUAUUGCUUACUUCGAUUAUGACCGUAAUUAGAUUAAGGGUCACAGGAACCUGGAGCCUAUCCCAGGGAGCAUCGGGCACAAGGCGGCGUACACCCUGGACAGGGUGCCAGUCCAUCACAGGGCACAAUCACAUAUACACUCACACACCCAUUCAUACACUACGGACACUUUGGAUAUGCCAAUCAGCCUACCAUGCAUGUCUCUGGGGGAGGAAACCGGAGUACCCAGAGCACGGGGAGAACAUGCAAACUCCGCACACACAGGGCCACGAUGGGAAUCGAACCCCCGACCCUGGAGGUGUGAGGCGAACGUGCUAACCACUAA